UCCUCGUGCGGGGGAAGCCGGUGCGACUCCGGCGCUGACCACGCAACCGUCACAGUCGGGAUGCCCGCCGGGGA
rnacentral:ncRNA from 2 species